GCCCCUAUGGUUUUCUGUCCGAAGGGGGUGAAGCAACCUGAGUCCAGGGUGUCAUCAUUCGGAUUGGAAGUGGUCUGUGUGGCGGGUUUCUUCCUGUAUUUAUUGAAGGACUUUCUUCUCGGAUAUGCACUUCUGAUCUGACACUUGUGCCCAUGCUCCAUUUCCACACCUCAGCUGCCAAUAACCACUCAAGAGGAAGAAGAUGAUUUUCACAGCCCGUUCAAUCCUGUCACCACAAAGAUCGUGCAAAAACCUCUCGAAGAUGUCUUCAAAUCUGCAUAUGGCUUUCUUUGGCGCUUACUUCAAUAGUUGACGCUGUGGACUGCAAAAACAUCAUAUGUUCACUUGGCCAGCAGGUCAUUCUGCCAUGUAAUGCUCCUGGAAAUAUGGUAGUCCUCGCCAUGCAGUGGUCCAGACGUGACCUGACAGAAUACGUGCUGCACUAUCGUGAUGACCAACUUGAUCCAGACGACCAGGAUCCGUCUUAUACGGGCCGGGUAAACCUGACCAAUACCCACAUGCAGAAUGGGGAUUUCUCAAUGAUACUGAUGAACAUGACGACUGCUGACAUUGGAACAUACGAGUGUAUAGCCUUCCAGAGAAGACCAGGGAUGGACUCUGAAAUCCUCAGCAUCGUAAACCUGAAUGUCAGUCAGUCAGAUGAAGGAAGCAGGAAUGGAGUCAGCAGUGGCGCAGCUACAGGAAGAAACCAUCUUGGUCUCAUUGUGUCACUGUCAGUUAUUGCAGGGAUCAUUCUGGUGGCUGGUAUUCUCUAAUCUAUAUUAGGUGCCAAACUAACAUUGGAUCCUCAGCUUCCCCCCACUAUGAAAUGACAUCAACAUCUCAGCAUGUCUAAAUUAGAAAGACCCUCAAAUUUAUUCCAAACAUCUAAAACUUAAAAUGACAGUUAAAAGCUGAGGUGUGGCUUGUAGUGAAAAGCACAGAGAAGUUAAUUAGAGUAGAAUAAUAGAAGCUCGGAUCCAUUUAUCGUUUAACCUACAUUAAGCAAAUUCAGAUUGUGGUUCGGCUCGGAACCACUUUGAUUUGUGCCUUUGUCAUAUGUUUUCUAAUGCUGGCCGUAUAUAUGUCACGUGAUAGAUUGGCUGG